rnacentral:rRNA from 1 species
AUUGAACGCUGGCGGCAGGCCUAACACAUGCAAGUCGAACGAGUGGCGGACGGGUGAGUAAUGUCUGGGAAUCUGCCCUAUGGAGGGGGAUAACGACGGGAAACUGUCGCUAAUACCGCAUACCAUAGGAUGUGCCCAAGUGGGAUUAGGUAGUUGGUGGGGUAAUGGCCUACCUAGGCGACGAUCUCUAGCUGGUCUGAGAGGAUGACCAGCCACACCGGGACUGAGACACGGCCCGGACUCCUACGGGAGGCAGCAGUGGGGAAUAUUGCACAAUGGGGGCAACCCUGACGCAGCCAUGCCGCGUGAAUGAAGAAGGCCUUCGGGUUGUAAAGUUCUUUCGGUGAGGAGGCGUUAAUCACAGAAGAAGCACCGGCUAACUCCGUGCCAGCAGCCGCGGUAAUAC